AACGUAGGAGGCGAGCGUUAUCCGGAUUUACUGGGCGUAAAGCGCGUGCAGGCGGUUUCGUAAGUCGGACGUGAAAUCUCUCGGCUUAACCGGGUGGUGUCGUUCGAAACUGCGAGGCUUGAGGUCGGGAGAGGGAAGCGGAAUUCCCGGUGUAGUGGUGGAAUGCGUAGAUAUCGGGAGGAACACCUGUGGCGAAGGCGGCUUCCUGGCCCGCACCUGACGCUAAGACGCGAAAGCGUGGGGAG
rnacentral:rRNA from 1 species